AUACCUUUCUCGGCCUCAUGGCCAAGAUAAAGUGUAGUAUAUGUUCUUAUCAGUCUUGAGGUUAUAAGAGUGAUAGUUUGAACUUUGAACAAUCACGCGUCAUGACUUACUUGCAUUGGGAAAUGAUUAACUCGCUAAUUACCCCUAUGCUAGCUUAUUUUAUUCUUCUUAAUUGUCUCGAAUUACCUACGGAGUUUGAGGGGUUCAGUUUUAUCCAU
rnacentral:snRNA from 1 species